AACUUUUACAAUGCGGGAAACCGUGAUAAGGGAAUCUCGAGUGCCAGCAUAUAAUGUUGGCUGUCUGGAUGCCUAAAAAGCAUCUGUUAGCAAGGCCGGGCAAGACCGGUGCCAGCCGCCGCGGUAACACCGGCGGCCCGAGUGGUAACCGCUUUUAUUGGGUCUAAAGGGUCUGUAGCCGGCCAAGUAAGUCCCUUGGGAAAUCUGGCAGCUCAACUGUCAGGCUGCUAGGGGAUACUGUUUGGCUUGGGACCGGGAGAGGUGAGAGGUACCUUGGGGGUAGGGGUGAAAUCUUGUGAUCCUCGAGGGACCACCAGUGGCGAAGGCGUCUCACCAGAACGGGUCCGACGGUAAGGGACGAAAGCUAGGGGCACGAACCGGAUUAGAUACCCGGGUAG
rnacentral:rRNA from 1 species